CUUCAGUUCCCGCUGUACUCUCUUACUUUUUCUCUAUUUUUUUUUCAAAAUUUUCAAAAUCUAUCCUCAAAAGAAUCUCACUAAUUCAGUUAGGUUAAGGAAAAGAAAAAAAUUCGUCUAUUUCAGUAGGAAUUUUGAUUAGAAAAAGCACGAAAUUUCACUUCAAUGUCUGAUUCAAGGAGGAUUACAAGAGGGGCUGCGUCUAAAAUAGCCGAAGAGAGAUCGAAGUUUAUUCAUGAUCCAAUCCCCAUGCAAAAUAUUCAACCUUCAACCGAAGCAGGAAUUAUGGUUGAGGAUCAAACUGGGGAUGAACAAAUUCAUGAACUUCAAAUUGAUGAGGAAGUAUUUUACUCAUAAAUGUCAUUGCAUGUGCAAAUUUUAUUAAAUUUUUGUAUUUAUAAGCUUAAGUGAAUGUUGUAUUCAAACUGCAUUAGCAUUGAUUUUUUUGUAUCCUGCCUAUGGAAAUACAAGUUUGCUUGAUUAAUGUAUCCUAGGUACUAUCACAGUCUAUCUAUUAUUGUAUCCUAAAUUUUGAGUGUAGUUUGAUUCGCAUCUUUUAUGUUAUA